CUGCGGCCUAUCAGCUUGUUGGUGAGGUAAUGGCCCACCAAGGCUAUAACAGGUACGGGCUCUGAGAGGAGUAGCCCGGAGAUGGGUACUGAGACAAGGACCCAGGUCCUAUGGGACGCAGCAGGCGAGAAAACUUUGCAAUGUGCGAAAGCACGACAAGGUUAAUCCGAGUGUUUCCUGCUAAAGGAAUCUUUUGUUAGUCGUAGAACCACUAGCGAAUAAGGGGUGGGCAAGUUCUGGUGUCAGCCGCCGCGGUAAAACCAGCACCUCAAGUGGUCAGGAGGAUUAUUGGGCCUAAAGCAUCCGUAGCCUGUUUUGUAAGUCUUCGGUUAAAUCCACGUGCUUAACAUGUGGGCUGCCGGAGAUACUGCAAAACUAGGGAGUGGGAGAGGUAGACGGUACUUGAUAGGAAGGGGUAAAAUCCUUUGAUCUAUUGAUGACCACCUGUGGCGAAGGCGGUCUACCAGAACACGU
rnacentral:rRNA from 2 species